CUAACAAGGGUUCCCCUAGUAACGGCGAGUGAAGAGGGAAGAGCUCAAAUUUUAAAUCUGCCUUGUUUCAAGGUCGAGUUGUAAUUUGAAGGUGCGUUUUCUCGGGCCCGCACCGGUAGAAGUUCUUUGGAACAGGGCAUCAUAGAGGGUGAUAAUCCCGUCUGUGACCGGUCGCGAGUUCGUAUACGAUACGCACUCUAAGAGUCGAGUUGUUUGGGAUUGCAGCUCAAAACGGGUGGUAAACAUCACCUAAGGCUAAAUAUUGGCGAGAGACCGAUAGCGAACAAGUACCGUGAGGGAAAGAUGAAAAGAACUUUGAAAAGAGAGUUAAACAGUACGUGAAAUUGUUGAAAGGGAAACGCUUGAAGUCAGUCGUGCUGGCAUGAAAUCAACCGUUGCGCUAGUAAGUUGUCUGCGGGUGAGCUAAAAACCAUCGCGUUGACAUUUUUGCGUGCGCAGCGGUGCACUUUUGUGUCAGCUGGUUAGCAUCAAUUUCGACCGUCAUAAAAAGGCUGGGGGGAUGUGGCUCCUUCGGGAGUGUUAUAACCCUUAGCGGAAUGUGGUGGACGAGAUUGAGGUUUGCAACGGGUGCCGCUCUGCCUGGCCUCUCUCUGGCGCCCUGGAGGCGACAGCUCGCUGACGUCUUUGGGAGCCGCUGACGAAAAGGUUAGAGUGUGAGUUGACCCGUUAAGGGUGC
rnacentral:rRNA from 1 species